rnacentral:rRNA from 1 species
CACUUUUCGAAGUGUACUGGACGCAAAGAGUUUUCUGUGAAGCCGGGGCGUGAGCCAUCCGGUGGAGAGAUCACUAGCGAGAAUGAUGACAUGAGUAGCGACAAACAGGGUGAGAGACCCUGUCGCCGAAAGUCCAAGGGUUCCUGCUUAAAGCUAAUCUGAGCAGGGUAAGCCGACCCCUAAGGCGAGGCCGAAAGGCGUAGUCGAUGGGAACCAGGUUAAUAUUCCUGGGCCGUGAGGUGGUGACGGAUCUCGAAGGUAGUUCAUCCUUAUCGGAUUGAAUGGGCUGCUGAGAGGUUCCUGGAAAUAGCCCCUCUAUAAGAUCGUACCCUAAACCGACACAGGUGGACUGGUAGAGAAUACCAAGGCGCUUGAGAGAACGAUGUUGAAGGAACUCGGCAAAAUACCUCCGUAAGUUCGCGAGAAGGAGGCCCGGUUUCUACGCAAGUGGAUGCCGGGGGCACAAACCAGGGGGUGGCGACUGUUUACUAAAAACACAGGGCUCUGCGAAGUCGCAAGACGACGUAUAGGGUCUGACGCCUGCCCGGUGCCUGAAGGUUAAAAGGAGGGGUGCAAGCCCCGAAUUGAAGCCCAGGUAAACGGCGGCCGUAACAAUAACGAUCCUAAGGAAGCGAAAUUCCUUGUCGGGUAAGUUCCGACCUGCACGAAUGGCGUAACGACUUCCCCGCUGUCUCCAACAUCGACUCAGCGAAAUUGAAUUGCCUGUCAAGAUGCAGGCUUCCCGCGGUUAGACGGAAAGACCCCGUGCACCUUUACUACAGCUUCACACUGGCAUCAGGCACAACAUGUGCAGAAUAGGUGGUAGGCUUUGAAGCAGGAACGCCAGUUUCUGUGGAGCCUCCUUUGAGAUACCACCCUUGUUCUGCCUGAUGUCUAACCGCGGUCCGUUAUCCGGAUCCGGGACCCUGUGUGGCGGGUAGUUUGACUGGGGCGGUCGCCUCCUAAACAGUAACGGAGGCGCGCGAAGGUUGGCUCAGAGCGGUCGGAAAUCGCUCGUUGAGUGCAAUGGCAGAAGCCAGCCUGACUGCGAGACUGACAAGUCGAGCAGAGUCGAAAGACGGCCAUAGUGAUCCGGUGGUCCCGCGUGGAAGGGCCAUCGCUCAACGGAUAAAAGGUACGCCGGGGAUAACAGGCUGAUGGUGCCCAAGAGUCCAUAUCGACGGCACCGUUUGGCACCUCGAUGUCGGCUCAUCUCAUCCUGGGGCUGGAGCAGGUCCCAAGGGUACGGCUGUUCGCCGUUUAAAGAGGUACGUGAGCUGGGUUUAGAACGUCGUGAGACAGUUCGGUCCCUAUCUGCCGUGGGUGUAGGAUACUUGAGAGGAGUUGCCCCUAGUACGAGAGGACCGGGGUGAACGAUCCACUGGUGGACCAGUUGUCAUGCCAAUGGCAGUGCUGGGUAGCUAUGAUCGGAAAGGAUAACCGCUGAAGGCAUCUAAGCGGGAAGCCCCCCUCAAAACAAGGUAUCCCUGAGAACCGAGGUAGACCACCUCGUCGAUAGGCCGGAGAUGUAAGUGCAGCAAUGCAUUCAGUUGACCGGUACUAAUUGUUCGA